rnacentral:rRNA from 1 species
AUACGUAGGGUGCAAGCGUUAAUCGGAAUUACUGGGCGUAAAGCGUGCGCAGGCGGUUUUGUAAGACAGAGGUGAAAUCCCCGGGCUCAACCUGGGAACUGCCUUUGUGACUGCAAGGCUAGAGUACGGCAGAGGGGGAUGGAAUUCCGCGUGUAGCAGUGAAAUGCGUAGAUAUGCGGAGGAACACCGAUGGCGAAGGCAAUCCCCUGGGCCUGUACUGACGCUCAUGCACGAAAGCGUGGGGAGCAAACAGGAUUAGAUACCCUGGUAGUCCACGCCCUAAACGAUGUCAACUGGUUGUUGGGUCUUCAUUGACUCAGUAACGAAGCUAACGCGUGAAGUUGACCGCCUGGGGAGUACGGCCGCAAGACUGAAACUCAAAUGAAUUGACGGGG